rnacentral:rRNA from 1 species
AUUGAACGCUGGCGGCAGGCUUAACACACGCAAGUCGAGCGGAGCGAGGGUGCUUGCACCUUAGCUUAGCGGCGGACGGGUGAGUAAUGCUUAGGAAUCUGCCUAUUAGUGGGGGACAACAUUCCGAAAGGGAUGCUAAUACCGCAUACGCCCUACGGGGGAAAGCAGGGGAUCUUCGGACCUUGCGCUAAUAGAUGAGCCUAAGUCGGAUUAGCUAGUUGGUGGGGUAAAGGCCUACCAAGGCGACGAUCUGUAGCGGGUCUGAGAGGAUGAUCCGCCACACUGGGACUGAGACACGGCCCAGACGCCUACGGGAGGCAGCAGUGGGGAAUAUUGGACAAUGGGCGGAAGCCUGAUCCAGCCAUGCCGCGUGUGUGAAGAAGGCCUUUUGGUUGUAAAGCACUUUAAGCGAGGAGGAGGCUACUAGUAUUAAUACUACUGGAUAGUGGACGUUACUCACAGAAUAAGCACCGGCUAACUCUGUGCCAGCAGCCGCGGUAA